UACGUAGGGUGCGAGCGUUAAUCGGAAUUACUGGGCGUAAAGCGUGCGCAGGCGGUUCGUUAAGUUCGUUGUGAAAGCCCCGGGCUCAACCUGGGAACUGCAAUGGAAACUGGCGGGCUUGAGUGUGGCAGAGGGGGGUGGAAUUCCGCGUGUAGCAGUGAAAUGCGUAGAGAUGCGGAGGAACACCGAUGGCGAAGGCAGCCCCCUGGGCUAAUACUGACGCUGAGGCACGAAAGCGUGGGGAGCAAACAGG
rnacentral:rRNA from 1 species